GUAAUUUUGACCUUCAACCGUUUAGGGCCAAUUGAAGUGCACUAUAUGGAGAAUAAUCCUGGAAUGUUUUCAUCAAAAACCUUAAUUUCUUUUCGACUGAAGAGAGAAGGACAUGGACAUCUUGGAUGACAUGGGGGGUGAUUUGCUUUUCCUAUGUUUUCUGGGAAGAAAAUAAAACAAUGAACAACUUUCUAUUGUUCCAGAUCAGAUGAGUGUGAAUCAUCAGUGAUUGUGUGAAGCUCAAACUCACCAGCUCUUCUUGCACAGAUGAUCUGAAGAAGAAUCACAGUAGGAGCAGCAAACACUGCGAUCUCAACAAUGAUCACAAUCACUGCAGGAAACGUGUGGAAGAAGAGGAGAAACUGGACAUGACUGAAGCCAAGGGGAUUAAACUAUGAACAGUUAUUGAUGAAGCAUUUACAGACUGACGUGUCGUACCUCUGAAUAAUGUUCUAGCAGUCACACAGAUGACAGUUUUUGAUGCUGUAUCAGCUGUGGAUCACAUCUGUUAGUUCAAUUCAAACAUAAUGCAGCAAAUAACACUUGAGCCUAUAUUUCUGGACUUUAAUGAUUUGUUCAUUCAUAAUUAUUUACAGUGCAGGUUUGAAAACAUCUGUAAACAUUUAAUCACAUGAAGCGCUUUCUUCUUUGUGUUCAGUCAAUCACAGUGAACUGCAGACAUUAUUAUUAUAGAAGUUUCAUUAGAAUGCAGACUGUUCUGGACAUUAAUUUUAAUGUUUCUUGAGCAAAAUGAAAAAAAAAUUCUUUAGCACAUUGACAGAUUUAAUUAGAGUUAGUUUGCACAAAGUUCCCGAUCCCCUGUACUCCAUCUCAUAAUGUCUUCACAGAGGAAUCAAUUAUGUCUAGGGACUGAUUUUAGAAGAAAAGUCACUGCAAAGCGCUGAUGUGAGAAAGACAGUGAUGAUGUACCUUUAGAUACAAGAUAACUCUAGCAUUGUCUAUCAUUAUAUAUAGCGUGUCUAACAGAGAAUCUUCCAUGACUGAUAUAUGAGAUUGUUUGUUCACCUGAAUA